rnacentral:lncRNA from 1 species
GGCCUUGCUCUUAUGUCAUCUGACUAAAGGUUUCAUAGACCAAAGAUAACCAUCCAACCUGUUGGAAUACUGAAACAAUUGCUGCCUGCUUUCCACACACUACAUAAAAUAUGUGGAUACCCUAAAUUCUACAAAAAAAGAUUUGUAAGCAAAUCAAGUAAUACUGGGACUCCCUCUUCUCCAGAAGAGACAUCCUGGCCUCCAUGCAGAGGAAUGUGUGGAUAGACAUAUAUUUAAGGAAGACACUAAACCAGAAAAUACUACAUUACACCCUCUUAAAAGACUUCUAAGAUUGUUGUCAUGCCUACCACUGACAUUCAGAUGAUGUGUAUUCUUGAUUGUGAUUUCAUGUUUGGAGCUGAUGAAGGAGUUUGAAGUCUCCAGAGCAGCAAGGAGAGUGGGGAGUAGAACUCAUCAUCUUUAGGUCACUCAUCCCCG